rnacentral:lncRNA from 1 species
CCUGAAGAGACAAGAUGGCGGAGCUUGCGAAAUCGAAAAUUGGUACUUGAAAGUCAAUGGUUGAUCAUGAAUACCAUCUUUUAUUUAAUGGUGAAAGAAACCAAUAUUUGCAGCUGGACAGGCUUCACCACAGUUCAAUGAUUUAGUUAAGACAAUGAAAUAGAAGAACUCAACACUUGCACCAGUGGAAGUACUUCUUAUUGGAUAGAGAACUUUUCAAGGUCAGACAUCAGCUUUUGAAGUUGCUUUCUUGGCACAUCAUGCUGUCCA